rnacentral:rRNA from 1 species
UACGGAGGGAGCUAGCGUUAUUCGGAAUUACUGGGCGUAAAGCGCACGUAGGCGGCUUUGUAAGUUAGAGGUGAAAGCCUGGAGCUCAACUCCAGAAUUGCCUUUAAGACUGCAUCGCUUGAAUCCAGGAGAGGUGAGUGGAAUUCCGAGUGUAGAGGUGAAAUUCGUAGAUAUUCGGAAGAACACCAGUGGCGAAGGCGGCUCACUGGACUGGUAUUGACGCUAAGGUGCGAAAGCGUGGGGAGCAAACAGG